ACGUAGGUGGCGAGCGUUGUCCGGAUUUAUUGGGCGUAAAGGGAACGCAGGCGGUCCUUUAAGUCUGAUGUGAAAGCCUUCGGCUUAACCGAAGAAUUGCAUUGGAAACUGGAGGACUUGAGUGCAGAAGAGGAGAGUGGAACUCCAUGUGUAGCGGUGAAAUGCGUAGAUAUAUGGAGGAACACCAGUGGCGAAGGCGGCUCUCUGGUCUGCAACUGACGCUGAGGCUCGAAAGCAUGGGUAGCGAACAGGAUUAGAUACCCUGGUAGUCCAUGCCGUAAACGAUGAGCGCUAGGUGUUGGGGACUUUCCGGUCCUCAGUGCCGCAGCAAACGCAUUAAGCGCUCCGCCUGGGGAGUACGACCGCAAGGUUA
rnacentral:rRNA from 1 species